GCCAGCAGCCGCGGUAAUUCCAGCUCCAAUAGCGUAUAUUAAAGUUGUUGUGGUUAAAAAGCUCGUAGUUGGAUCUCAACAGCCUCGAAGCGGUUAACUUUGUAGUUUUACUGCUUUAUAGGCUGUGCUUUUGCUGGAGGUUUAGGGGUGCUCUUGAUCGAGUGUCUCUGGAUGCCAGCAGGUUUACUUUGAAAAAAUUAGAGUGCUCAAAGCAGGCUAAAAUGCCUGAAUAUUCGUGCAUGGAAUAAUAGAAUAGGAUGUCGAUCCUAUUUUGUUGGUUUUCGGGACUCGACAUAAUGAUAAAUAGGGACAGUCGGGGGCAUUUGUAUUCAAACGACAGAGGUGAAAUUCUUGGACCGUUUGAAGACAAACUACUGCGAAAGCAUUUGCCAAGAAUGUUUUCAUUAAUCAAGAACGAAAGUUAGAGGUUCGAAGGCGAUUAGAUACCGCCCUAGUUCUAACCAUAAACGAUGCCAGCUAGCGAUCUGCCUGCGUUUUUACUGUAGACUGGGCAGGAAGCUUCCGGGAAACCAAAGCAUUUGGGUUCCAGGGGAAGUAUGGUUGCAAAGCUGAAACUUAAAGGAAUUGACGGAAGGGCACCACCAGGAGUGGAGCCUGUGGCUUAAUUUGACUCAACACGGGAAAUCUCACCAGGCCCGGACACUGGAAGGAUUGACAGAUUGAUAGCUCUUUCUUGAUUCGGUGGGUGGUGGUGCAUGGCCGUUCUUAGUUGGUGGAGCGAUUUGUCUGGUUAAUUCCGAUAACGAACGAGACUCUGUCCUGCUAAAUAGUUUCUACUUCUCUUUUGAGUAGAAAUUUCUUCUUAGAGGGACUGGUGACUCUUAGUCACACGAGAUUGAGCAAUAACAGGUCUGUGAU
rnacentral:rRNA from 1 species